rnacentral:rRNA from 1 species
GCCUGUUUAACAAAAACAUCGCCUUUGGGGUAGUAUAAAAGGUUUGGCCUGCCCACUGUGAUUAAAGGGCCGCAGUAUUUUGACUGUGCAAAGGUAGCAUAAUCAUUAGUCUUUUAAUUGAAGGCUGGUAUGAAUGGUUGGAUGAGGUAAAAGCUGUCUCUUAUGAAUGAGUAGAAUUUAGCCUUUCAGUUAAAAGGCUGAAAUAGAGUUAGAGGACGAGAAGACCCUAUAGAUCUUUAUAGGGCUAUGUAAAGCUAGAAGAUGAGUUAGGGUGUUACAAAAUUCUUAUUUGGUUGGGGUGACAAGGAAAUAGAUUAACUUUCUUAAAUUGAACACUGAUUAGUGAAUUAGGGAUCCAUAGUUUGUGAUAAAAAGAGUAAGUUACCUUAGGGAUAACAGCAUAAUCUUUCUAGAGAGUUCUAAUCGAUAGAAGGGGUUGUGACCUCGAUGUUGGACUAAGAUUUAACCUAGGUGCAGCAGCCUGGGCUAAUGGUCUGUUCGACCAGUAGUAUCUUACAUGAUCUGAGUUCAAACCGGAGCUCC